GUGGUGGUGGUGUUGGUGCUCCAAGUUGUGGAGAAGCUGCAGGUGCCAUGGCCACAAGCCUGCACCCUUAGAACCUAUAGAAAAAAAUUGAAAGAACUCUCUACCUUGUCUAUUAUAGUAGAGAUCCUUAAGGAGACUGAAGUUGAGAUAAUAGUGAAUAGCUUCAGAAAAAAUUACGAGCAUUUUAGGAGCUUUGCCAGAGAUUCUGUGUGGCAGUGGAAGAAGUUCUUGUGCAAUGAAACAGUAAACCUGAUGAACUGGACUUGAAGAAGAGCAACUCCAGAAAGUGCCACAGGAUUGCUCUUUAGAAGGAGGAGGAAAUGAAAACUGAAAAGCCUCCAGUCAGACAGCUGAGACCACAGACAGAAAAAACACAGAACACUCUCAGAGAUUAAGCAUCUCCAAAGCUUCUCAAAGUCAGAAGAAGAGAAAUGAAAGAAUGCGGUUUCACCAACCUUCACCAGCUUAUCUUCAGACCAGGAAUCUUCUGAUUAUGGCCGUGUUCGGACCCCAUCAUCUAUCAGUCCUCAACCGCUGUCUGUGGACUAUUAGAGAUUCCUGGAGGAGGACCCAUUGUUCUACACCAGAAACCUGGAAAAGGCCACACUAAUGCCCUUUAGGACAGAUCAAGGGUCAGCCAAGAAGGGGCUGUGGGUCAAAGCAAGAAGCAAAACCUUUCCAUAAGAAAAAGUACUUCAUUGAGUGCAAGACUGAUGAGAAGUUCUGCUUUGAUCAGUGAGAAAUCACAUGGGCCCUCUCCAAAGAUGAAAACCAAAGGCCACCCUCAGAAGAUGACACAAAAUAGAAAUGACCCUAUAGUGUCCCUUGUCUAGAAAGAGAAAGAAAGAGAGAACAGCAGCAUCAAGACGGUUUUACCCCUCUUGGAGAUUGCUUGGAUAGAUAGCCAGUGAGACUCCUACGUGAAUUUGAGGAAGCAGAUAUGGAUGAUGAAUUUGAGCAGCCCACCGUGUGUAUCUCAGCCAUCACUAGUCUUAGAAGAAAAAUAAAAAUACCAUGAAAAAUUCAGACACUAUACUUAGAAAAAAAAGUUGAAAGAAUGAUUCUAAAACCACGAGUAAAAUUUGGAUCAGUUCAGAAAUUACCUAAGGUAAACAAAAAUAAGUCAGAGAAGCUGCAGCAGUUUGAAGCUCAUCCAGCCAAGCUGAAAAGGGUCCCCAUACCAGUAUCGCCUGACGUUCCAUUUCUCAGGACACAGGCUGAUUGCCAUUCACCUCCAUCCGUCUCCUUGACUCAUGUCCUCCUUCCAACCAAAGUGAAAAAGCACUCUCUUCACCCUGGGAAGAAGAAGAAGCUGGAUCUACUCUACACAGAAUUAAUUCUAACCUUCAGGCAUGUUCGGGUUCUAAAUAUCCCACUCCUCCAAAAUUAUUAGCAUGCACCAGCCUUGCGUCCAAAUACUUAAAAGCAUCAAUUCAAUCUUUGAAGUGGAAUGAAUCUCCUAUUUUGUUCUAAAACACAUUUUAAAAAGAUGUAUGCCUCAUCAGUUAUAUCACCUACAGAAGUACAAUCUUGUACCAGUUGAAGAAACAGAUCAAUUAAUAAAAAUUCAGUCAUCAAAACUUUAAAAUUCCAUGAAAGGCUGGAAGAUCAUGAGUUAUCAGGAAAUGUACUUGUGUUUCAGGAUGCCUGAGAGCAGAAGCUGUGAAUGCUGAUAUGAAUAGAUAUUCAUCUCCACAUGCCAGUUAGCCCAAGGGCUGACAAGCAAAAAUUGACUCUGUCAACUCUGUGGCUAAACCACCUUACCAUGUUUGAAGGGGGCAAGAGAAGUUUGGGACAGGAGGAGCAGCUGGUCAGCAAAAGUAGAUUUUUGUGAUAUAUAAUCAAGUAUCAGGCUGGAAAAAGCCAAUGUAUGUUACCACUUGCAAGUGAUAAGCCAUAUCACACAGGAAGCAGUCACACUUCCUCCAACAGCAUCAGAAGCAGCAGUAGUUUUAUCCUCAUGCCUCAGAGACUGGUCUGUGCCUUCCUGAGCAUCAGCAGUACCCACUUGGUGAAGGCAGUCAGCAGCAUGUGAAAGAAGAUUGCCCUGAUGAUGGCUAAGACAAUUCAUGAUUUCAAGAACAGAUUCUCCCCA
rnacentral:lncRNA from 1 species